UCCCUUGUGGUCCAGUGGAUAGGAUUCUAUGCUCUCACCGUGGCAGCCAGGGUUCGAUUCCCUGCAAGGGAG